rnacentral:rRNA from 1 species
GACGAACGCUGGCGGCGUGCUUAACACAUGCAAGUCGAACGGAAAGGCCCUGCUUUUGUGGGGUGCUCGAGUGGCGAACGGGUGAGUAACACGUGAGUAACCUGCCCUUGACUUUGGGAUAACUUCAGGAAACUGGGGCUAAUACCGGAUAGGAGCUCCUGCUGCAUGGUGGGGGUUGGAAAGUUUCGGCGGUUGGGGAUGGACUCGCGGCUUAUCAGCUUGUUGGUGGGGUAGUGGCUUACCAAGGCUUUGACGGGUAGCCGGCCUGAGAGGGUGACCGGCCAAAUUGGGACUGAGAAACGGCCCAGACUCCUACGGGGGGCAGCAGGGGGGAAAUUUGCAAAAUGGGCGGAAGCCUGAGGCAGAAACGCCGCGGGGGGGAUGACGGCCUUCGGGUUGUAAACCGCUUUCGCCGGGGACGAAGCGGGGGUGACGGUAAUGGGGAAAGAAGCACCGGCAAACUACGU